UUAUGUACAUGCCUACAUCACUAAUGCAACAUAUCCCAUUAGAACUCUGCAAUUAAGCACGCUUGGGAGAGAUUAGUAUUGGGAUGGGUGACCGCUCGAGAAGUCCUAGUGUUUUACAUGCC
rnacentral:rRNA from 1 species